rnacentral:rRNA from 1 species
GACGAACGCUGGCGGCGUGCUUAACACAUGCAAGUCGAACGGAAAGGCCCUGCUUUUGUGGGGUGCUCGAGUGGCGAACGGGUGAGUAACACGUGAGUAACCUGCCCUUGACUUUGGGAUAACUUCAGGAAACUGGGGCUAAUACCGGAUAGGAGCUCCUGCUGCAUGGUGGGGGUUGGAAAGUUUCGGCGGUUGGGGAUGGACUCGCGGCUUAUCAGCUUGUUGGUGGGGUAGUGGCUUACCAAGGCUUUGACGGGUAGCCGGCCUGGGAGGGUGACCGGCCACAUUGCGACUGAGAUACGGCCCAGACUCCUACGGGAGGCAGAAGUGGGGAAUAUUGCACAAUGGGCGGAAGCCUGAUGCAGCAACGCCGCGUGCGGGAUGACGGCCUUCGGGUUGUGAUCCGCUUUCGCCUGUGACGAAGCGUGAGUGACGGUAAUGGGUAAAGAAGCACCGGCUAACUACGUG